AGAAAGAAGAAGAAGACAGAGGAGAGGGUGGAGCAUUGGAGAUGAACGACGGAGCUUGAAGCACUCGUUAGCAACGGUGGGCCGAACGGUUGAGAAAGGGAGAACGCCGACGGUUAUUGUCGAGGGAAGUUGGUGAGUCCUUGUGAAGAAGAAGACAUGGGGUGUUGAGAGGAAAGAAAGAUCAAGAAGAAGGUGGGAAGAAGAGGCCGAAAACUGAGGGGGCAUGACCUGACCCGACCCGACCCACCUGAGAAAAGUAGAUCUGGGUCGGUGGCGGGGACGUGUGGAGUCGUGCAGCUGUAGAA